GUUUUUUGCUCUGAUACCUUUUGUGCCUGUUCUGCAAAUACUUUAGAGCAAAAAGAAAAAAACUGAAGUAUCAGAAAAUGAAUGAACUUUGGAAGAGUUUAACAAGAAAUCUGAGUUUGGUGCCUAGCCUCCUGUCCAAGCAAUUACUGUGUGCCUCAGUUCUUUAGAAUUAAAAUGGGAUUAAUGACACCAUUAAAUCACCUGUAAGGCUAAGGGUAUUCAUGUGAUUGAUUAGCAGACCUACAUCAGAAUAAGGUCCAGAGGCAGAAUUGCUGCUGUUUCCUCCUGAGCUUAGGAGCUGAGAUACUGAAGGAUGACAUGAUACAGAGGUGGAGGAUCAAAAAGUCCAUGUGCAUUAUGGGAAUAACAGCACUGGAAGAAAAAAAAAAAUAUCUGUUUUUUACCUCACAAAAUCUUUCAUUAACUGGCAAACAAGGACAAAGUAGAAUAAAAUGUUACUCUCCCUGCCACUGUAAGAGUGAAUGUUCCUGGGCAAUAGGAGAGAAAUCCUGAUUUGUUAAAGUGAAACAAAGCUCUGCUGAAAUGAUCUGCAAAGGUAUAAGAAGAGACAAAAUAUCCCUUCCUUAUAACUUUUUGAUCUCCCAUAUUUCUGGUUUCUCUAUUAACAUUGGCCAGCCACCGUUCCUGUCCUUUUCUCAAUGCUUUUUUCCUUUUCCUGUCAGGUUCCUUCAGCCAUGCUUCUUUUCCAGGUGGAAGACGAAAGAAAGGUACAGAUAGAGAAUCAGGCACCUAAGCGUCAUAAGGCUAAAUAUUUGUUCGCUCACUUAACAUGCAGUAAGUCCUGGAGUGCUCUCUGUUUACCCAAGAGGAUUUCAGCAUAGAGGCUUGCUCCAGAAAGGUAUUUGUUUAGAAAAGAGAAAAAUCCUGCAGAUCAGUGUAAUCUCUGUUACUCUAGGGAGUAGUGAGAGUGUAAUGUGGUGUGGGUGGGGCUUUUCUCCUUAGUAAAGCAACAGCUCAUGGCAAAGACUAAGUGCUAUCAAAUCUAGGAGAGUCAGAACCUCAAUAUCAAGUGUCAGAAACUUUGAAAGUUGAGGGUUUUCAAUCGAUAUUUUAAGAUGUUGCUAAGCAAAAAUUUUAUUUAAGUCAAAAGAAUGGGUUUGAUCCUUCAGGUUUUUCCCUUAUAAACUUCCAGACUAAGGCAGUAGCCACACGACAGGGACAAAAUCCCGUUAUGUUCUUCAGGACAAAUGCCUCUUCCAGAGAUGGAGGAGUAAAGACAAUGGUGCUGAGAACUUAUUUGCUUGUGAACAACUCUGAAUUUUGCUCUACAGAGGGAUCAUAUUGAAGAAUUUUCACCCCAGCUCAGGUUUCACCAUGGUGAGGACAGCACAGUAUAAUAGGUGAAGCCUCUGGAAGACGUCAUACAAGAAAACCUGCCUUUAAAAGGAGGAUAAAAUAUAUGAAAGCUUAAGCAAAUAAUUUUGUUUCAGGUUGAAAGUUAGUUUUCCUUUUUUCAUCCCAUUUUUCAGAUUAAAGUCAGUGAGCAAAAAAC
rnacentral:lncRNA from 1 species